ensembl:snRNA U6 U6 spliceosomal RNA
GUGCUUGCUUCAGCAGCACAUAUAAUAAAACCGGAAUGCUACAGAGAAGGUUAGCACAGCCCAGCUCAAGGAUGAUAUGUAAAUUCACGAAGUGUUUCUCAAGAAC